UGGUCACAAGUGACUGCUUGAGGAUCCUUCAGGCUGCUUAAGGGCCGGCUCAGUAGGUAGAAUGUGAGACUCUUGAUCUCAGCGUCAUGGGUUCGAGCCUCAUGUUGGGUGCCAAUUGAAGGCAGGAGUUCACCAGACCCAAGAUAAAUGGUAAAUAGGUGUUUUAUUGGGGGAACAACUUACAUAGAUGAGCGUAAAGAACCGCGGCGUUCCCGCUCCAGAAGAUGCAGUAAGUCUCUGCCCUUUGGAUGCUCUUUGCCACUCAAGAGAGCUCAUACCCGCCCCUCCUCUGCCUUCAAGGGGGUCACAUCCACACCUGAAACCACGCCUAAAGGGUGUGGCCACCACUACAAGUUCACUGGCAAGGCUUUGCUGCAUCACCUCUGUGUGUCCCAGCUGAGGAGUCCCUGGGAGAGCCUAGCCUUAGUAUGUAGGGGAAGCCCAAGAUGAAAAGUGUCCAGGUGUUCUGAAUGCCACAGCUGUUUGCUGCCCCCCUGACUUCAGAUGGCCGAGGUUCAGACAAUGCCUUCUGGGCUGACAAUAUGUCUCAAACCUCCCGGUUGACCAGAUGUCUCAACACAGGAAAACAGGAUAAAAGAGGUACUUCCCAUUCACUAUUUGACCUUUGCGACCCGACUGGCUCUCCUUUUCUUUUCCCAAGGCUGAAUUGUUGCUGUAGACAAACUACAGAGGCCAUCAUGGGUUUAAAGCGGAUUGCAGAGGGACCCCAUCAUUGCAGUUUCUCUUUCUUGAUCAUUUAGAAUCUUCCUGUACUCAAUGAAUGACUCAUUUCAUUAAUUUUGAUUUUGUGACACCCAAUAACGGAUAUCAACCACCAGAAAUUCACAUGUAGCGUUUAAUUUUGGUGAGGGUGCCCUGGCGUCAACACCCUCUGAAUCUGUGGUUCCCUUGUCCUUGUCUUCAAAAUUGACUGAGGAUCCCACUCCAGAGUCAGCCUUGCUAAUCUGCCCUUUAUGAUCUGCCGUUUUCUCUUGGUUCAUUGAGAUUAGGAUAUGCACCACGGUGCUCUCAGUAUUUCAUUUAUUAUUUUGUCGGCAUGCCAUACUAAGUAACCUUGGAUGGGGCUUGCAUCCAGUCCCACAGACACGCAGGACUGUGCCUUUAUCUCUAUGCCUGGCAUGAAGGUUUUUCUUUCCAGCCCCGGAAGGCCACCAGAUGUCAGUAUAGCUGAGCAAACAAAUUCCCUGACACAAGGUGGACCCAGGCUCACUGGAUCCAGGCUCAGCUUGCUUCUUAUAGGGAGGGUGGUGGCUCCAUCACUAGGCCCAGGCACGGCUUCCUUCUGGUCUUAAUCUCUGGCCCAAGACCUUGAGGGCCAACCUGGUCUUUGCCCACCUUGGGCAAAGUUUCCUAUCCUCGAGGCCAUUUGCUUAUAGUCUGAAGACCCCCAGCCUUGUAAUUGUCCUGGCCAGAGGCCAAGCAUUCUCUGUAGCAAGGCACUGUGCAAACCAGACACUGUCCUAUAUGAGUG